UAAACUGUGAUUUUUGCUUUAGACUAACAAGUAUUUGGUUCUUGUCUCUAAAAGCAUAGUGAAUAGUGAGUGGAGCAGGCCAUUGGUUGGUAAGUUUGGCAAGCAAGCCUGCUCCAUGGUACGAUGGAAAUUGCAGGUGUCCUUUUCACCUUUGUCAUUUUUGGAUAUGUUAAAUUUGUAUGUCUUCCAAAAUUUAUUAAGGUUUAUUCAUUUUUAGUCAAGAGUUAAGGUUCUUAGUUGAUAACAAAGUUGUUGCAUAAGCAGUAGGAUUUGAAGAAAAUUUGCAGAUUGCAGACAAAUAUAAAAAGAACAACUUAGAUUAACACCUAGAAAUCUGAGAUUAAAUUUAAAGAAAUCCAGUACUACAUCAAACUAAUUUAUUUGGAUUUAGAUGUAGAUCCUCUUAAAUUAUUAAAUCAUGUGAAGUGAUAUGGUAAUAUCAAAACGAAAAUAAAAGUUUAUUUCUUUAUUAAAUUUAGUUAGUGAAUUAAUACUUAAUGACUUUUCAUUUAAUAAACUAUAUUUUUUUUCUCCUCAACAUAAAGCUAUCAAAUCAUUCAACAAUAUAUGAAAAUAUUAUAAUUGAAUUGAUUGAACGUAUGAUAGGGUGAUUUAAUUUUGGCAAAUAAGCAUGAUGUGAGUUCAUUAUGGAUCAUGGAUUGAACAAGUGACUUAACAAGAACCACUUUUCCCAUAUAGGAAUAUCCUACCUUGCAUUGAAUUUGCAUUAACUUUUGAUUAAUUCAAACUCCUGGGCAAAAAAAAAUGGUCUGUAUUAAUACCACAAAUAUUGGUACUCUAACGCGUACUACGAAGGUCACAACCUACUUUAUCUCUUUAAAUUAUAUAAAUGGUAUGGCAUGAGUUUUAUUUAAAAAUAAAUUUUAAAUGAAUAAAAAAUAAAAGUCUAUAUUUAUAUUAUAAAUAUUUAUUGAUGAACUAAUGUUGAAAUUAUUUAUUUCAGGCAUCAAAUUAUGGAAGUGGUGUUCCAUCACCUAAUCAAGUAAUAUGAUCAAGUGUUGGAAGCAAAAUUGAUUAGGGAUGUGUGUUUUAAUUUUUAACUUGAUUAGAAAUGUAUGAACUUUUGAACAAUUAUGUGUUGUAAUUUUAAAUUUGAUUAGGGAUGUAUGAACUUUUUCUGUUUUAAUUUUCAAUUAUAUAUAAAAUUUUGAACAUGUAUGCUUUAAUUUUCAA
rnacentral:lncRNA from 1 species